GAUGAACGCUGGCGGCGUGCCUAAUACAUGCAAGUCGAGCGAACGGACGAGAAGCUUGCUUUUCUGAUGUUAGUGGCGGACGGGUGAGUAACACGUGGAUAACCUACCUAUAAGACUGGGAUAACUUCGGGAAACCGGAGCUAAUACCGGAUAAUAUUUUGAACCGCAUGGUUCAAAAGUGAAAGACGGUCUUGCUGUCACUUAUAGAUGGAUCCGCGCUGCAUUAGCUAGUUGGUGAGGUAACGGCUUACCAAGGCAACGAUGCAUAGCCGACCUGAGAGGGUGAUCGGCCACACUGGAACUGAGACACGGUCCAGACUCCUACGGGAGGCAGCAGUAGGGAAUCUUCCGCAAUGGGCGAAAGCCUGACGGAGCAACGCCGCGUGAGUGAUGAAGGUCUUCGGAUCGUAAAACUCUGUUAUUAGGGAAGAACAUAUGUGUAAGUAACUGUGCACAUCUUGACGGUACCUAAUCAGAAAGCCACGGCUAACUACGUG
rnacentral:rRNA from 1 species